UACGAAGGGGGCUAGCGUUGUUCGGAUUUACUGGGCGUAAAGCGCACGUAGGCGGUUUGUUAAGUGAGAGGUGAAAUCCCGGAGCUCAACUCCGGAACUGCCUUUCAUACUGGCAAGCUAGAGUCCGGAAGAGGUAAGUGGAACUCCUAGUGUAGAGGUGGAAUUCGUAGAUAUUAGGAAGAACACCAGUGGCGAAGGCGGCUUACUGGUCCGGAACUGACGCUGAGGUGCGAAAGCGUGGGGAGCAAACAGG
rnacentral:rRNA from 1 species